GACGAACGCUGGCGGCGUGCCUAAUACAUGCAAGUCGAACGCUGAAGGCGGAGCUUGCUUCUCUGGAUGAGUUGCGAACUGGUGAUUAACGCUUAUGUAACCUGCCUGGUAGCGGGGGUUAACUUUUGGAAACGUUAGCUAAUACCGCAUAAUAGCUGUUAUUGCAUGAUUACUGUUUGAAAGGUUCAAUUGCUCCACUACCAGUUGGCCCUGCGUUGUAUUAGCUAGUUGGUGGGGUAACGGCUCACCAAGGCGACGAUACAUAGCCGACCUGAGAGGGUGAUCGGCCACACUGGGACUGAGACACGGCCCAGACUCCACGGGAGGCAGCAGGAGGGAAUCUUCGGCAAGGGACGGAAGGCUGAACGAGAAACGCCGCGGGAGUGAAGAAGGGUGUCGGAUCGGAAAGAUCGGUUGUAAGAGAAGAACGAGUGUGAGAGUGGAAAGUGCACACUGUGACGGUAUCUUACCAGAAAGGGACGGCUAACUACGUG
rnacentral:rRNA from 1 species